AUUCUUGUUUCUCUUUAGAUCGUACAAAUCUUUCGUCUUUUACUAAGGAUUUCCGUGAAGAGGAGUAACAAGAGUACAGCCUAAUUUUGGGGCUUCUUAAGAUGU
rnacentral:snRNA from 1 species